rnacentral:rRNA from 1 species
UAACGCGAAGAACCUUACCUAGACUUGACAUCUCCUGAAUUACUCGUAAUGGAGGAAGCCCUUCGGGGCAGGAAGACAGGUGGUGCAUGGUUGUCGUCAGCUCGUGUCGUGAGAUGUUAGGUUAAGUCCUGCAACGAGCGCAACCCUUAUCAUUAGUUGCUACCAUUAAGUUGAGCACUCUAGUGAGACUGCCGUGGUUAACGCGGAGGAAGGUGGGGAUGACGUCAAAUCAUCAUGCCCCUUAUGUCUAGGGCUACACACGUGCUACAAUGGGCAGUACAGAAAGAUGCAACCUCGCGAGAGUGAGCAAAACUCUAAAACUGCCCCCAGUUCGGAUUGUAGGCUGAAACUCGCCUACAUGAAGCCGGAGUUGCUAGUAAUCGCGAAUCAGCAUGUCGCGGUGAAUACGUUCCCGGGUCUUGUACACACCGA